CAGUAGCCGCGGUAAUACGAAGGGGGCUAGCGUUGUUCGGAAUUACUGGGCGUAAAGCGCACGUAGGCGGACAUUUAAGUCAGGGGUGAAAUCCCGGGGCUCAACCCCGGAACUGCCUUUGAUACUGGGUGUCUAGAGUAUGGAAGAGGUGAGUGGAAUUCCGAGUGUAGAGGUGAAAUUCGUAGAUAUUCGGAGGAACACCAGUGGCGAAGGCGGCUCACUGGUCCAUUACUGACGCUGAGGUGCGAAAGCGUGGGGAGCAAACAGGAUUAGAUACCCGUGUAGUCCCUGUCUCUUAUAC
rnacentral:rRNA from 1 species